rnacentral:rRNA from 1 species
AUUGAACGCUGGCGGCAGGCCUAACACAUGCAAGUCGAGCGAGCGGCGGACGGGUGAGUAAUGUCUGGGAAACUGCCUGAUGGAGGGGGAUAACUACUGGAAACGGUAGCUAAUACCGCAUACCAUCAGAUGUGCCCAGGAGGGAUUAGCGAGUAGGUGGGGUAACGGCGCACCUAGGCGACGAUCCCUAGCUGGUCUGAGAGGAUGACCAGCCAAACUGGAACUGAGACACGGUCCAGAGUCCAACGGAAGGCAGCAGUGGGGAAUAUUGCACAAUGGGCGCAAGCCUGAUACAGCCACGCCGCGUGUGUGAAGAAGGCAUUCGGGUUGUAAAGCACUUUCAGCGGGGAGGCGUUACACGCAGAAGAAGCACCGGCUAACUCCGUGCCAGCAGCCACGGUAAUAC